rnacentral:lncRNA from 1 species
CACUCAGCUUUCUGAAAUGGUGUCCCACCACAAGGACUGGAGAAGGGUAAACCUCAGGUUCUCCUCCUGCCUUUUGCUAAGUAUAUGUCUUGAUGACAAGCCUUCUGCUAAUGAGCUGUGUUUCUGGACCGAUCAUGGUAGAAGUCAAUUGAAGUGUCCCUCACUUGGGGUUUCUUAAGGGACUCUCCGUCUGUCGCCCAGGCUGGAGUGCAGUGGCACAAUCUCGGCUCACUGCAAGCUCUGCCUCCCAGGUUCACGCCAUUUUCCUGCCUCAGUCUCCCGACUGCACUGAUGAGGAAACUGAAACAGAAAAUCCAGAGUAAAUUCCACCAGGCCACACAGCAAGGUCUGAUAGAGCCAGGAGAGACUUUAUGAAAUCCAGACUCUCACACUAAUGCUCUAUCAGCUAGACCUCCAUGUGAGUCUCCCCAAUGUAGGUAGGAAGCACUUUCCCUAAAAUGCUCAUAAAGCAAAUCAGAGCAAUGCUUCAUUUCAUGUGAUUUCUAAUUUGAAAUGCAAACAAUUGCCAAUUUGUUUGACUUGUAUUUAUAAUUAUUUCCUUGUGAAUUACUCAUCACUAAAUGCUUUAUAAAUAUUUUCUCUUUUUUUUCUCAAUGUCUAUGGAAUGAUCACAGCAUAGAAAAUGUUGGCUUUCAAGGAUUUAUUAAUAUCUCCUUUUGAAAUAGCAUGUAUUUGUAAGACAGUAUAAAAUCACUUUAAA